UACGUAGGGUGCGAGCGUUAAUCGGAAUUGCUGGGCGUAAAGCGUGCGCAGGCGGCGCGUUAAGACAGGUGUGAAAGCCCCGAGCUUAACUUGGGAAUUGCGCUUGUGACUGGCGUGCUGGAGUGUGGCAGAGGGAGGUGGAAUUCCACGUGUAGCAGUGAAAUGCGUAGAGAUGUGGAGGAACACCGAUGGCGAAGGCAGCCUCCUGGGCCAGCACUGACGCUCAUGCACGAAAGCGUGGGGAGCAAACAGG
rnacentral:rRNA from 1 species